AUGGUUGGCCCUCUUCUCCGUUUCCUUCCCCUCUGUUUCUCUCCCUCACACAAGGAUUGCCUCUCCCCUUCUUCUACAGGUGCAGCCAUGGCCACCGGCCGCUGCGCCGCCCACCACGACGAGCUGCUCAACACUCUCCUCGCCGCCGCGGGCAACGGCCGGGAGGAGGAGGAGGACGCGCGGGAGGCACGGCAGCGUCAGAAUCAACGCGUCGAAUCCGGCCUCGGCUUACGGCAACACGGACGUGGAUGCUCUGGCUGCGACCGCCGUGCUCUAUGCCCCGACCCUGCUCGCCGAGUCCGUCCGACCUGGUGA
rnacentral:rRNA from 1 species